AGAUUUCCAAAGCGUGACUGGAGAAAAUUGCGCCUGAAACGACAAUCCUCGAUGACCUCUUUCAUUGAAGAAAGAAUUGAAUUGUUCUCUUGUCUUAAAAUUCCAAAAGCAUGCACUUCAAAAUCCGUAUGAAGCAGCAUGCGAGGCACAUUUUAAAACAUCAAACACGAGAAAACUAUUGGCUGGAGUUCCCAAACCAUGCGUCUGAAUGUGCACUUUGCCCCAUGCCAGAGAUCACAAAGCAUCUAAUUAAAAAUGAUAAAUCUGAGGGGCAGCACUUGAGAAAGGCAUCCAACACUACUUUUUUGCAUUUUCUGUGAAUUUAAUAAGCAUGCUUAUAUGACAAACACAAGCACAUAUUGACAAAAGGUGGCGUGAUGUUGCAUUGCCAAUUGCUGACAUUCGUGAAAAUCCCAGGCAUGUUUUGAAUUUUUUUAAUAUAGCAUACCACAGGUAGUCAAGCGCAGCCCUGCAAAAAGAAAGCGAAAUGUUAAUGGAAAAUUAUCCCCUUGUUCUCUCUGGUCAUUCCUGGUGACUGCAUCAUUGUGGCCAUUUUUCCUUCUAAUUCCUUGCCACUUUCACUCUUAUGUAAGGACAUUGCAUCUUAUCUUCAUUAAUAAUCCUCCUUCCUUUUUAGUCCAUAUCCCAGAAAUCAUGACAUUCAAUAUUUCCUUCAUCUAGAGCAUAUUUAGCGAGGUGCUCUGCUAAUGAAUUCCCUUCUCUGAAUAUGUGAGUGACCUUGAUGAUACUUUGUUCUUUCAUUCUUAAGAUCUCCUCUUAUAUCCUAGAAACCAUGACAUUCAAUAUUUCCUUCAUCUAGAGCAUAGUUAGCAAGGUGGUCUGCUAGUGAAUUCCCUUCUCUGAAUAUGUGUGCGACUUUGAUGAUACUUUGUUCUUUCAGUCUUAAAAUCUCCUCUACAUGAUCUGUAAUACACCAAGGAGGCUUCCACGAUUCCUCAAUAACGUUCCUUAAAAGUAAGGAAUCUGUCUGCAGCCAUAUCUGUAUAAAAUUAAGAUUUUGGCACAUCUUCAGUGCCUCUACAACAACAACUGCUUCUGAUUCGUUAUUGAAUCCUUUGUUAAUUUCUCUUCCUUCUAUAUAUAUCAAAUCACCGAUCUCAUCUCUUACGCAGAAACCAAUUGAACUUCUUCCUGGGUUACCUCUGCAAGCUCCAUCAGUAUUGACUUUGAUCCAGCCUAAUGGAGGAAAUUCCCAUAGUACUUUAUCAUAUUUUAGUCUGGGUGUGUAUUUCUCCAUCAUUGUCAGUAAGUACAGCCAUUUGUGAGGCACAUGUAAUCCUGGCUUUUUCAGUUGGAUUAGGGCUUGUAGCGAAGUUGACACUGGUAAAUAACUUUGCUUACUGACACCGCUUCUCCAUAUUUCAAAUUAUUUCUUCUCUUCCAUAACUCCCAUAUGAUGCAUGCUGGUAAAGCUUGCAGAACUGGCUUCAAUCUAGGUAUAACUGAUGCCGUCCAGCACUUUGUAAUUGCUUGUUGUACAGACAACCCUUCUAAUGCAAUUCCUGCUCUCCUCAGGAAGUAACUCUACACACUCGUAGUUGCAUUGGAUGUGAAGAACAAAUGAACUAGAGAGUCCUCUUUUGGAUUAGCACAACACCAACAUUUAGAUGGCAUGGAGUAUCCUAUUCUGCGCAAGAAAUCAUCAAGUGGCAGUUUGGCUUUCCACACCUUCCACAGGAAAAAAGAUAUCUUGAAUGGUAAGCCUUUGACCCAUAUCAUCUUGUAAGCUA
rnacentral:lncRNA from 1 species